UCACCCGCGUCUCGCCCCACUCCCACCCCAGCCGCCAAACGAACCCUAGCCCGCUUUCUCCCUUCCCUCGAUCCCCACGAGCCGCCGCACCCCUCCCUCCCCAAUCUCCACAGCCGCCGCACCUCUCCCUCGAUCCCCACGAUCCUCUCCUCGCCCGCAGCCGCCGGCCUCGUCUCUCCACUCGCCUACUCCUCUCCUCUACCAUGUCGUCGUCGAUCCCACCGCCGGCCUUCUCCACUGCUUGCCUCUUCCUGUCCGCUUCCAUGUCACCGUCGAUCCAGAUCGGAUGUAGGUCAUCGUUGUGGGAGAGUAGCGGUGGCGGGGUCUUCUCGAUGCGGGUGAGGAUGUAGGGGAGGGGUAGGAUGCGGACGACAAGGUGAAGGAGGAGGCCGGCGAGGAAGGCAAGCAACAGCGGGGAAGGAGCAGGUGAGCAAUCCUAGCGCGGGGAACAUCCGUGGGGACGGCGCCGUCGGCCAGGGGCCAUUCGCCGUCGUCGGCCUCACUCGCCUCGUCUGCUCUCUCUUCACCAGCCCGACCAUAGAGGAUGGGAUGAGAAAGUCUGUGGCCAGCGAAUGGAGCCCCACCUUUGCGUUUCUGUCGCCGCCGAGGAACGUCGCAGCCACUCGCCCACACCAGCCAAAGUGAUUCAUCUACACUACCGCUAGAAGAUUUGGGACUUCACAAUCUGAUGCUGAGCAAGUGGACAUCCAUGUCCCAAAUGAGAAGGCUGGGUUGCUCAUUGGGGAGGGAGGUGAGACCAUUGAGCUUUUAGAAACUAAGUCUGGGGCUGGCAUUCAGGAUAGUGCUAUGACUAUAUGCAUGGAUGUCUUUAUCCAUCCCCAAAUGAGAAGGCUCGGAUGCUCAUUGGGGAGGGAGGUGAGACCAUUGAGUUUUAGAAACUAAGUCUGGGGCUGGCAUUCAGUUAAUCCCGCAUCAUCUCCCCGAAGGUGAUCUUUCCACAGAAAGAAAAAUACAACUUAGUGGGAAUUGGAAUCAAAUAGAGAUUGCAAGAACAAUGGUCGUGGAACUCAUUAGUCAGGUGCUUCUCGUACUUAUCUAUAUCUAUAAGUAUGAUAUGUUACAUUGCUCUCCAUGCUAUUUGAAAAUUUAAAGGGGAGUUAUAUUUGUUUUUCAGUCUUAUACAUGUAGAUCUGCGUGAAGUUAAAAACCAUGGUUGCUAGAUAUGCACUUUCUGUUUUGAAAUGUUGCUUGCACUUUUUGUGUUACCAUGAUUGGGCAAAUAUUUGAGUAUUCUUGAUUUUUUUGUUUUUUAGAUGAAUUCUUCACUUUUUCAGCAUGGGCUUCUGAUGAACUUUGUUAUUCAGGGCAAAGGUUGAUUAAUCUAAUGAUCUGUGUUAUUUCUUUGGCGUUAGGUACAGAAGAUUAGUUUUUUUGUUGUGGAUUUUUCUGCCUUUGCAGGCCUCUUUCUUUGUUACUUCUGAAACUCAACAUAUGGGGAUUUUGAGAGGAUUUUCAUGUCUGACCAGGGUCAGUGCUAGAUUAAAUAUAUCCGCAGUAGCGCAAGAUUUUAUUCUUCUCUAAACGACCUGAUUUAGAGACAUUUUAAGGUGUUUAUCCAGAUGUGAUCUUUUUUAUUCAGUGACAGGCGAAUCAUAUAAUUCUUUCAUUUAAAUUCGUGCUCUGUUAUCUAGAAACUAAUAGGUCCUUCUGUAUACAUAGACUAUCAUGCCGUGAAAGUGUAAUAUUUUCCCCCUGUUUUGGACUAACUUGUUAUCUAAUCAUUUCAAACUCUAUAUUUUUAAUGUUUAGUAAUUAAACCUUUAAGGACUAAUGGUUGAUGCUAGAUCUUGAUUUUUUUUUACUCUGUUAUUCUUUGUUGUUAGUAACUUACUAUUACUCUGUGUAGGCUAAACUGGUGCGUACAUUUUCUGUGGUUAGACAUAUAUUUCUAUAUGCAUGUGGAAGUGUAGAUCUCGUGAGAUAUAUUUUAUAACUGGAAUGGCUGAGUAUCUGUGUUAGUUGAUUACCUCAUGCAAUAGUUGUAGCUUCUCAUGGAAUAUUCACACGCUGUCAGUGACAAUGUAUCAUAUUUACAAGAGCUCAACCUUGUGCUUAGUUGAUUACGAGAAUGCCACUCUCAUAUGCCUGAUAGACUAUGUUGCCUUGAUAUGUUGUAAGAGAAUAAUUCAUAUGGAAUUCAGUUGCAAGAGGAACAAGUAUGACGUAAUGUUGAUUUAUUGAUAAACAUGCAUUUUCGUGAUUAUAUAAUUGUAUAUGAAUUUUUUAGAGAAAAUAUUGCAAGAGCUCAUCCAUGUACUUGCUUGAUUACACCAACUUGGGAGCACUAUCAAGUACUCCCUACUUCCCAAAAUCUUGGGCGUAUUAGGUAUUAGCACGAAAAUUAGCGCACUGGUAGUUACGUGAGCCAUCGUACGAGGGAGCCAUCCACAAUUGGAGAAAAAAAAGGAAGGCAUGCACGAUUUGGGUGCUAACGGCACCAGAGGACCGACCGCCUUUUUUAUUUCCAAAAACGUAGCUAACUACACACCCUGCAUUAUGGGACUGCAUGUAAAAUCUAAUAUGCCCAAAUUUUUUGGAAGGAGGGAGUACCAAACAAUGUUUUCUGUUUGUGAUAAAUUCAGUUAUGGUGUGAUUGCCUACUGUAGUACUCCCUCCGUUCGGAAAUACUCGUCGGAGAGAUGGAUGUAUCUAGACGUAUUUUUGUUCUAAAUGCAUUCAUUUUCAUCCAUUUCUACGACAAGUAUUUCCGGACGGAGGGAGUACUACCCAAACUGAUUUCAUCAUAUCAUCAAUUUCAGGAAGCUUAUGUAGUUUGUCAUUGAUUAUUGAUGUCAUAACAAGGAUAUGCCAUACACACGAAGAUACUCCUAUUAACACGAGUGCCAUCAGUAUAGUGACCUUGUGCAUCAGAAAAAGGACUUGGUUAAAGCAUAAGGACGAUGAUCCCGUUUUUGCUCUAUAGGCCUCCCCUUCUUCAAAUGAAGCUCCAACCUUAGCAAGGGUAUGGUAGUAGAUGAUGUGUCUGUUUUGUUUGUGUCGACAGACAAGCGGUUGGUUGAUUCUGUAUACACAUCCUGCAAACUAAGCUUAGCAAAUAGCAAUAAAGCUACAACAAGUGUGUUCACUGUCAUCUCCCUUUGAAACAAUAUAUCAUCUUCUGGUUUUCUAAUAUGUAUUGUACAGCAUGAAGGGGAGCCUUGGCGCAGUGGUAAAGCUGCUGCCUUGUGACCAUGAGGUCACGGGUUCAAGUCCUGGAAACAGCCUCUUGCAGAAAUGUAGGGAACGGCUGCGUACAAUAGACCCAAAGUGGUCGGACCCUUCCCCAGACCCUGCGCAAGCGGGAGCUACAUGCACUGGGGCUGCCCUUUUUAUUGUACAGCAUGUGACUAUCCAAAUUAUUCUCUGUAGAUAACUACACGCUUAUCUACUUGUCGUACCAAAAUGGUUCGUCUUUAUCAAAAUCCAUGUUUCCUUGUUCCUUCCUAUAUCUCGGUUUUAGUAUUGUAUUGCUUUUGUUUUCGGCAGUCACGUGCCUAUUUGUAUGAGAGAUUUGUUAUUGACCUAAGGCCAAGUGUAUCACUAUCUAUUUAUCA